GACACACCCGCUUUGCUUAGAGGCGCAGCAGAUAGAGCGGUUGUUAACGACUCUUAAAAGGGGGGAGGAACGGGGCAGCAGUAGGACAACGAACUGCAUUGCAUCGGGUGUCUGUUUGAAUUGGGACUCUGGCAAGGGCAGUGGGCUCUGGGGCGCCUGAGCAGCAGGAACCUUCAGGCAGUUUCCUCGCACAGAGCUUGAGAGAGGAAGCAAUGAAUGGGAGAAUUCAAAGGAUGGCGAUAAAUAAGACAAGAACUGAUGGAUCUACUGUUGACAGACAGGAGGAAACUGAAGUGGUGAAUGCUUUCAGAUGGAGGCCUUGGAAAGAACACAGGAGGUUGGUUAUGAGCAGCCUGGGCCUGCAGGAGAGUGUGGGGACAUCGGCCAUGAGGACUUCAUCAAGCUGGUGUCCAUCUAGACUGCGUACCUUGAGAUACAUCUGAUGAGCUUCCCACCCCCAAAGGCCGAUGGCUGCUAUGAACAAGAAAGGGACUGUGAAAUGGCCUAUGGGACAGGAGGGCUAAAAGCUGGGAAGUUGUUUCUUUCUUUUUUUCUUCCCAAGUUUGUCUCUUUCUUGCAAAAUGUAUAUUUAAGACACUGCUUGGCCUUUUCCUCACCUGCCAUUGUCAUGCUGGGAUUCUUUUAUUGUUAAACUUCACAGUGUUUUUCCUACUUCAGCUGGAACUGUCUUCUGGAGCUUAGCUUUCUAGGAAUAGUUUUGGUCUUCUUCUACCUCCUCUUCUAUUCAGCAGUCUUCAGAGAGAAGAAAUGGUUUCCUCUGGUAUCAGCAGUAGCAAACGGUCAGUUGAAGUUGUCCGGUGAGAAGGAGUGAAGUGGGAAUUCUGAUUUGGCAACUUUUGGCACAGAGCUUUAUAUUCAGUUCAGGUAAAUUGCUGCUCCUGCUUUGUUACCUUGGAGGUGGUGUAGCUCAGUGAUAGAGCAUUUCCUUAGAAAAAGCUGUCAUAAGAUUCAGGUUCUAAUGUCUUGGCCCCACACCCAAAGGUAUGGCAAACCACUUCUAUAUCCUGGCCCAGAAACAGUGUGACUGUGACUGUGUAGUCAGCGAACCACUGAGUAUGGUCAAAGUUUCCUUUCAUUUUUAGCUCACCAGUAUAGUGAAAUCUGUUAAGUUCUUCUCAUAGAGUCUCCAUUUUUUAUGCCUCCUAAUACCAGCAGUGGAAACCCUGAUGCCUUUUGGGCUUCUCAUUAUCCCAGGCUGUUGAUGUUAUGGGUGAGUUUAAUUUCACAUCAGGGCAGCUUAACUGCCUAUCAUUAUGGGUCAGCAGGUGUGUUCUUCUGCUAACAUUAUCCCUGGACCAAAAUGAUUAAGGUGCUAUGAUAGCAGAAUCAUACUGGUAUUAUGAUCAGCUGUAUACUCAGCCUCAGCAUCCUAGCUGUUUAAGGCUUUUCAGGAAAGUGGAAUAAGGUGUUGGAUUGUCUAUGCCUCAUUCUAAAGUCUUGUUUAAAAGAUUUCAUAUUCAUAACAAAAUAUUAGUACAUGACCUAUUUGUAUUCACAGGAUGUUGUAGGGUAAUAGAAAAUAUUGCAUUGUAUAUACUUUGCCUUGUUAUACUAAUUUAGCACUUCAUAUAAAUAUUCAGUCUGCUUCAUAUCAUUCUGAAAAAUUUCCAGUAGCCUACCUACCUGCCUAUCCAUCCAUCCAACCAUCCAUCCAUCAGGACCAGAAUAAACAAAACAAAUUAAAACCA
ensembl:lncRNA